CACUACUGCCGGCGACCGGCGCACGGGUGAGUAACACGUAUCCAACCUGCCUCAUACUCGGGGAUAGCCUUUCGAAAGAAAGAUUAAUACCCGAUGUUAUAGUCCUACCGCAUGAUGGGAUUAUUAAAGAAUUUCGGUAUGGGAUGGGGAUGCGUUCCAUUAGUUAGUUGGCGGGGUAACGGCCCACCAAGACAACGAUGGAUAGGGGUUCUGAGAGGAAGGUCCCCCACAUUGGAACUGAGACACGGUCCAAACUCCUACGGAAGGCAGCAG
rnacentral:rRNA from 1 species